GACGAACGCUGGCGGCGUGCCUAAUACAUGCGAGUUGAGCGCUGAAGGUUGGUACUUGUACCAACUGGAUGAGCAGCGAACGGGUGAGUAACGCGUGGGGAAUCUGCCUUUGAGCGGGGGACAACAUUUGGAAACGAAUGCUAAUACCGCAUAAAAACUUUAAACACAAGUUUUAAGUUUGAAAGAUGCAAUUACAUCACUCAAAGAUGAUCCCGCGUUGUAUUAGCUAGUUGGUGAGGUAAAGGCUCACCAAGGCGAUGAUACAUAGCCGACCUGAGAGGGUGAUCGGCCACAUUGGGACUGAGACACGGCCCAAACUCCUACGGGAGGCAGCAGUAGGGAAUCUUCGGCAAUGGACGAAAGUCUGACCGAGCAACGCCGCGUGAGUGAAGAAGGUUUUCGGAUCGUAAAACUCUGUUGGUAGAGAAGAACGUUGGUGAGAGUGGAAAGCUCAUCAAGUGACGGUAACUACCCAGAAGGGGACGGCUAACUACGUG
rnacentral:rRNA from 1 species